rnacentral:rRNA from 1 species
UACAGAGGGUGCGAGCGUUAAUCGGAAUUACUGGGCUGUGAAAGACGCACGUAGGUGGGUGAUUAAGUCGAAUGUGAAACCCCCGAAGCGUUAACUUCGGGAACUGCAUGCGAUACUGAACACCUAGAGUAUAGUAGAGGGAAGUGGAAUUUCCGGAGUAGCGGUGAAAUGCGUAGAUAUCGGAAGGAACACCAGUGGCGAAGGCGGCUUCCUGGGCUAACUACUGACACUGAGGUGCGAAAGCGUGGGGAGCAAACAGGG